UCGAGAAUCUUCGGCAAUGGGCGCAAGCCUGACCGAGCGACGCCGCGUACGGGAUGAAGGCCUUCGGGUUGUAAACCGUUGUCAGAGGGGAGGAAAUCUUGUUGGGUUCUCCCAGCAAGUUGACCUAGCCUCAGAGGAAGGACGGGCUAAGUUCGUGCCAGCAGCCGCGGUAAGACGAACCGUCCGAACGUUACUCGGAAUUACUGGGCUUAAAGGGUGCGUAGGUGGCCCUGAAGGUUGGGUGUGAAAGACCUCGGCUCAACCGAGGAAUUGCGCCCAAAAACUACAGGGCUUGAGGAAGGCAGAGGUGAGUGGAACUUGCGGUGGAGCGGUGAAAUGCGUUGAUAUCGCAAGGACACCAGUGGCGAAAGCGACUCACUGGGCCUUUCUGACGCUGAUGCACGAAAGCUAGGGGAGCGAAGAGGAUUAGAUACCCUCGUAGUCCUAGCCGUAAACGAGUGAGCACGUUGUUCGAGGGGUCCUCCAUAGCCUCUCGGACGUAGCGAAAGUGGUAA
rnacentral:rRNA from 1 species